UACGUAGGGGGCAAGCGUUGUCCGGAUUUAUUGGGCGUAAAGAGCGUGUAGGCGGCUAGGUAGGUCCGCUGUGAAAACUCGAGGCUCAACCUCGAGAGGUCGGUGGAAACCAUCUAGCUAGAGUCCGGAAGAGGAGAAUGGAAUUCCUGGUGUAGCGGUGAAAUGCGCAGAUAUCAGGAAGAACACCCGUGGCGAAGGCGGUUCUCUGGGACGGUACUGACGCUGAGACGCGAAAGCGUGGGGAGCGAACAGG
rnacentral:rRNA from 1 species